AUGGGCGAAAGCCUGAUGCAGCAACGCCGCGUGAGGGAUGACGGCCUUCGGGUUGUAAACCUCUUUUAGUAGGGAAGAAGCGAAAGUGACGUUACCUGCAGAAAAAGCACCGGCUAACUACGUGCCAGCAGCCGCGGUAAUACGUAGGGUGCAAGCGUUGUCCGGAAUUAUUGGGCGUAAAGAGCUCGUAGGCGGUUUGUCGCGUCUGCUGUGAAAUCCCGAGGCUCAACCUCGGGCUUGCAGUGGGUACGGGCAGACUAGAGUGCGGUAGGGGAGAUUGGAAUUCCUGGUGUAGCGGUGGAAUGCGCAGAUAUCAGGAGGAACACCGAUGGCGAAGGCAGAUCUCUGGGCCGUAACUGACGCUGAGGAGCGAAAGCAUGGGGAGCGAACAGGAUUAGAUACCCUGGUAGUCCAUGCCGUAAACGUUGGGCGCUAGAUGUAGGGACCUUUCCACGGUUUCUGUGUCGUAGCUAACGCAUUAAGCGCCCCGCCUGGGGAGUACGGGCCGCAAGGCUAAAACUCAAAGGAAUUGACGGGGGCCCGCACAAGCGGCGGAGCAUGCGGAUUAAUUUCAUGCAACGCGAAGAACCCUUACCCAGGCUUGACAUACAGCCGGAACGGCCAGAGAUGGUCGCCCGCCUUUGCUGGUCGGUGUUACAGUGGUGCAU
rnacentral:rRNA from 1 species